rnacentral:misc_RNA from 1 species
AACGCACAUUGCGCCCGCCGGCACUCCGGCGGGCAUGCCUGUCCGAGCGUCAUUUCAACCCUCAGGCCCUCCCUUCCGGGGGACGGGCCUGGUGUUGGGGCUCGGGGUCCGCAAGGCCCCCGUCCCCUAAACCCAGUGGCGGUCGCGCUGUAAUCCCCUGCGUAGUAACACACCUCGCACCGGAGACCAGCUCGGCCACGCCGUAAAACACCCCAAUUUUACCAAGGUUGACCUCGGAUCAGGUAGGAAUACCCGCUGAACUUAA